rnacentral:rRNA from 1 species
CAGGCCUAACACAUGCAAGUCGAACGAAGCCUUCGGGCUUAGUGGCGCACGGGUGCGUAACGCGUGGGAAUCUGCCCUGGGGUACGGAACAACAGUUAGAAAUGACUGCUAAUACCGUAUGAUGUCUUCGGACCAAAGAUUUAUCGCCCUGGGAUGAGCCCGCGUAGGAUUAGGUAGUUGGUGGGGUAAAGGCCUACCAAGCCGACGAUCCUUAGCUGGUCUGAGAGGAUGAUCAGCCACACUGGGACUGAGACACGGCCCAGACUCCUACGGGAGGCAGCAGUGGGGAAUUUUCCGCAAUGGGCGAAAGCCUGACGGAGCAAUGCCGCGUGGAGGUGGAAGGCCUACGGGUCGUCAACUUCUUUUCUCGGAGAAGAAACAAUGACGGUAUCUGAGGAAUAAGCAUCGGCUAACUCUGUGC